rnacentral:lncRNA from 1 species
UUUUAAAAUCAUGAAAUGCAAAUAAAAUUGUUUACUGAAAACAUAAUUAUUUAUUACUGACCAACUAAACAUAACCUGAAAACAGAUUGGAGGGAUUUAUACAUUAGCUCUGACCCGCUGUAUUUCUAUAAAGCAUUUUCUUAAAAAAUCUGCUUUUGAUUUACAAUCCAGAUGAAGUUUAAAUUAUUUUAUAUUGUAUAUUUAUUAUUGUUUUUUUUUUAUAAAUUGAUGAAUCAUUAUCAAAGAUUACAAUUUAACACUUAAAAAUGAGUGUGUAGUAAAUUCAAGUACUUCCAACCCAUUUAUAGAAUGAUAUUAUGCAAAUUCAGAAUCAUUCUCAUACCCGUUAAUUUUUUUUCAAAAUCAGUACCAAGUCCAGAUGUUCAUCACAUUUUUUUUCAACUGAAACAUGUUUUU